rnacentral:tRNA from 1 species
CAAAUUAGAGCUUGUAAAAGUAUUUUAUUUACAUUAAAAGGAAAAUUAUUAAUUUAGUUUAAUUU